CCGAGCGCGUUCCUCAGUCCGCCCCAGGGCAUUACACGACGGGCUAUAACACUCCCCGAAGGGAGCCACAUUCCCGCCGCCUUUAUCCCCCGGGGCAAACUGAUGCUGGCCUGGACUGGCAGAGUGCACCGGCGAGAACGCCGGAUGUUCAACCAAGCCCAAGUCUGGUCAUGAAUGCUUCCCUUUCAACAAUUUCACGUACUUUUUAACCCUCUUUUCAAAGUGCUUUUCAUCUUUCGAUCACUCUACUUGUGCGCUAUCGGUCUCUGGCCGGUAUUUAGCUUUAGAAGACGUACACCUCCCAUUUAGAGCAGCAUUCCCAAACUACUCGACUCGUCGAAGGAGCUUUACAGAGGCUUGGUGGUCCUACCGUACGGGGCUCUCACCCUCUAUGGCGUCCCGUUCCAGGGAACUCGGAAGGCACCUCGCCAAAAGCAUCCUCUACAAAUUACAACUCGGACCUUGCGGCCAGAUUUCAAAUUUGAGCUGUUGCCGCUUCACUCGCCGUUACUGAGGCAAUCCCUGUUGGUUUCUUUUCCUCCGCUUAUUGAUAUGCUUAAGUUCAGCGGGUAUUCCUACCUGAUCCGAGGUCAACCUUAAAAAAUUGGGGGUUUCACGGCGUGGCCGAGCCGCUCUCCGGUGCGAGGUGUGCUAC
rnacentral:misc_RNA from 1 species